ACUCUUCACAUCACGGGAGUGACAGUGACUCAGACGACAUUGGGAGGAAACCUGACGGUGAUAACGAACCCCAAGUGUCUCUGUGAUCAGCUGAUCACAACCAUCCUUUUACGAUGCAAACAAAUCGUUAAUGAGUGUACUCGACUUCUACAAGGGGACAGUCCACCAGAUGACGCAUUUCAAACAGUUCUAACAAGAAUGGAAACCCUUAAACGCUGUCUGGAAUGCUCAAGAGGGAGGUUGAUGGAUGCAACAGCAGUACAAGACAUCCUUGAAAACAUUGAGAAAUAUACUCAGGAGGUCAAGGAAAUGCAACAGGGGGCUCAACAAGGUACUAACUGCAGACUGACAAGUGAAAUCUUGUUUUUCAGGCCUUUAUAAUUACAAAGACAAACUGCAUACUACAUGCUAAUUCAUUACCUAUUUGUUUAAUUAUGUGGGAAUUACACUCAUCAACACAUGGAGGUGUGUGUUUACGCAGAACUGUUAUGAAGGUGUCGUUAUGUAAGUUUUGCUUUGUUCAGCAGCUGUUCGGUUGCUUUAUCAAUAAUUGUUAAAACGUCUAUGCCUCUGCUCUUUAGGGGACUAAUGUUUUAGCUAGCUAGCUGCGCUAAUACAGCGUGACAGUACGGUCACUUAGAACUUUUCAGCGGACCUAAUUUAGUUCCCGUUUUCUUUGCCACCCUGUAUAUGAAGAAGUAAUUGCACUUUAGUGAGCAGAGCGAGGUAUAUGUUGAAACCUGUUACGCUCUGUUGCUGUUUAGUGUACUGUAAUAUGUAUUUUGAGACUUAAAACUAUUUCACUAAUUUCAUGUCAUUUGUUUUAUUUCCACAGUGCUUAUAGACACAAGCUGUUACGGCGAUAAAGAGGCACGUGAUGGCUGGACUGUCAUGCGAGGUGGUGUCAGCAAAAGUAAAACUCACAAGUCAUAGAGUCAAUUGACUCUCUGCAUAUUCGUUGAACCGAGGGCUGCUUGAAGUGCUGUUUCUGUUGUAAUAGAGGUGAGGUCAGGAAAAUAACUUUUCUUAAAUAUGACAUAUAUAGAUGCUUCAGUCGAACAAGUCUGUCACAAACAAGUAAUUCCUUUUCCUAGAGAUGUGUUUUGAUCAUUUAUCAUUAUCAAACAUGUGAUCACAUGACUUUUACUGGCUAAUGAAUUAUGCCUUCUACAUUAAACAAUUACUGUCUUUUUGUCCUCUACAGAUUAACGUGCACACGCAUCAUAGACCAGAAGCACAAGUGGCCAUUGGUUUUAAUGCUGUCAACUAGGGCUCAAGCAUGCAUUAAAGAGUCCAUUUACCUAAGAUGAUGUGGUUGUUAUUGCUCCUGAUACAAAGUUUUCUGUGUGUACACUUAAUGUCACUUUUCACAAAGACAAAUUCUGUAACAUCUGUUUUCUCUGUUUGAUUAUGGCAGGUAAUGUUUAUAUUAGUGUUUAGAAAGAUAAAAGAAGGUACAGUACUGGGUUGUAUAGCACCGACGCCUGUGUGGUUACGUGUAACACUUGACUAUUUUAAAUAGAUUUCAGUAUUCCCCAGUAAAUAAAAAAAAUUCUACAAAUGUCCA
rnacentral:lncRNA from 1 species